rnacentral:lncRNA from 1 species
GUCGGCUGGGUUUCCCUAACAGACGUCGUCGCUGCCCUUUGUGAGAGUUUUUGAAGCGUUUCCGUCAAACGUUUUGAAACGCUGGGAAAGAGGGGCAGGUGGGCCACCCUCUGUUCUCCAGGUGAAGAAACGACCGCGGAGAGGAAAAGGUGACUUGUCCAAGGUCACACACCAAAAAAUGGGCAGGAUCGGGAUUGGAACCCAAGUUCUGACUCCAGCCGUGCAGUUCACAGAGAUGAGAUGCUACGUGAAUGGCUGAAUCUCUAGGACCUCACCCCCACCGGGUUCCCAGAUGCGCCACACCGACUGAAUUUAAAAUACUUUGGAAAGUCUGUAUUGCUCUCUCCCCCUAAUAACAGCCAAGAUUUAGAGAGGACUUGCUGGGUCCGAGGCCUGGAGGAAGCUCUCUGCAUGCGUUUCUCUCCAGUUCUUCUUUACAGCCUUACACGGGAGUUUUCAUUCUCAUCUACAGAUGAGGAAGUUGGGACCCAGAGACUUCAUGAUCUGCCUCUCAGACCAGUGUUCUUCAGGCCACAUCUUGCUAGGUGAUAACCCAGACAUAAGAUCCUGGACUGAAUUCUCGGGAAGUCUUCUGCCCUCUUCAUUCCAUUAUACUGCCUCCUAUCUCAGAAGGAAUUUUUAAGUCUCUUUGAAAAACUCACCAGUUUAACUCGUAAAAUUAAGAAAUGUGUGGGAAAUCCACAUCAGGAAAAAUGCCUUCAAUGUAAAAAUGAGACAAAAUACUUACACAAACAGAUAAUAAUAAAAAGCUGACUGGCUUAUUCACAAAAAAAG